CCUACGGGAGGCAGCAGUGAGGAAUAUUGGUCAAUGGACGCGAGUCUGAACCAGCCAAGCCGCGUGCAGGAAGACGGUUCAGUGUAUCGUAAACCUCUUUUGUACGAGAGCAAAGGCGGGGACUAGUAUCCGGUUGAGAGUAUCUGACGAAUAAGCAUCGGCUAACUCCGUGCCAGCAGCCGCGGUAAUACGGAGGAUCCGAGCGUUAUCCGGAUUUAUUGGGUUUAAAGGGAGCGUAGGCGGAUUGAUAAGUUAGAUGUGAAAGUUUGGGGCUCAACCCUGAAAUUGCAGCUAAUACUGGUAGACUAGAGAACAGUAGAGGUGGGCGGAAUGUGUGGUGUAGCGGUGAAAUGCUUAGAGAUCACGAAGAACUCCGAUUGCGAAGGCAGCUCACUAAACUACAACUGACACUGAGGCACGAAAGUGUGGGUAGCAAACAGGAUUAGAUACCCUAGUAGUC
rnacentral:rRNA from 1 species